rnacentral:rRNA from 1 species
GCCUACGGGGGGCAGCAGUGAGGAAUAUUGGUCAAUGGUCGGGAGACUGAACCAGCCAAGCCGCGUGAGGGAUGAAGGUACAGAGUAUCGUAAACCUCUUUUGUCAGGGAACAAAGGCGGGGACGUGUCCCCGGAUGAGUGUACCUGAAGAAAAAGCAUCGGCUAACUCCGUGCCAGCAGCCGCGGUAAUACGGAGGAGGCGAGCGUUAUCCGGAUUUAUUGGGUUUAAAGGGUGCGCAGGCGGUCUAUUAAGUCAGCGGGCAAAGCCCGGGGCCCAACCCCGGCCCGCCGUUGAAACCGGCAGG